GUGAUGACGUAACCGAAGCCAUUUUGGACAUUCAUUUUAUUUUGUGAGGUGUUUCGGAACGCUUAUUUUAGUCUUUACUUUUGGUCCCGUUGCGAAGGAGAGUUGUUCAAAAGGUCGAAAUAACUGAGUUCGGGAGAAACAGUUUAUAAUCGAGAAAAUGCCGCCUCUUGAAACGGAUAUAGCAGUGGAAGCCGGAGAAAGAGUAAGAUUUGAGUAUCGUGUAACACAGGAGCUUAAAAAUCUGUGUUCAGUAAUAAAGCAGCUAAUGUCAGAGCGCCUUAGACGUAUCAGGGAGUUGAAAGACAUAACGGAAAUGUGCAAGCCUGAUCAGUCACAAAAUCCAGUUACCGAAGUAAAUGCAGAACAAGAGAAACCGCAGGCAGGAGAAGAGGAAGAGUAAAAGAUUAGAAGCGAAAUCUACAGCAUCGGUUCAGCAGAUAUACAUAAUAGGAAUACCUGAAACAGAAGACAAAGCAAAUGAAGCUGAAACAAUAGGGACUAAUUGAAGAAAAUUAUCCAAAUUCGAAGAAAAAGCUAAAUCUGCAAAUAGAAAAGUUUAAUAGGUUACCAGUAAAACAACAGAAAGCAACACCUACUCAUAUCCCAUUGACUUUUUAAAAUUGGAAGGAUAAAGAAGAAAAAUUCUACGAGUAUUCAGAGAAAGCAAGUUAACUAUAAGAGAUAAAAGACUGACCCGAUUUUUCUUUUUCAGCUCUAAAUGCCGAAAGGCAGGGGAGCAAUAUCUCUAGUUUUAAGGGAAAAUAAUUUUGAGCCAAGAGUUAUAUAUCCUGCCAAGUUACGGUUUAUAUAUGAAGGCAACUGGAGGACGUUCCCACAUACACAGGAGUUAAGAGAGUUUUUUUUUUUUCUUUAUUUGUUAAAUGCUGUUACCUCAGCCCGCAAAAACGAGUAGUGAGGCAGUUGUAUGGAAAAAAAAAAAAAAAAAAGUCGGGUAAACAUUAAAGCUAGUUAAAUAUCAUUAAGAUUAAAUUGUUAUGUGUAGAGUUAUGAAACUAAAUGCAAAGAUAAAUUCUUAAGUUGGGUCUGUAAUUUCAGUUUGUCUUGUUUUAGACUGAAGAGAUAUGCUAAAUGUUCAAUUUAGAGACUACUGUUUUUAGUAUGUAAUGUGGAUAAAAGUAUGCAUGCUCUACAGCUACAAAAUAAAAGGGCUUUGUCACUGUGGUGGGGAAGGACACCUAUAGUAAAGGCAUUCCAAGUGUUAAUCUGAUAAAAUGGGAAGUUGGUACAGUUUUGUGUUCUUUAUUUUUAAUUACAGAGUGGGGAAAGUAACAAGUUUGUUUAUAAUGUUAAUAUUGACAGUGUAAAGAGAAAAUUUCUAAAUCCCUGACUGGGGAAGUGGUAGAUGAAAGCAUUGUUUUAUGUACAUCUUGCCUUGGGAAAACCAGUAGUAACCGUUUCAUGUAGUAGUUCAUUCUAAGUAAAUUUGACAAGGAGAUAAGUGUUACAGAUAAAAUUAGAAUGUACCAAUUUUAUGAAUUGGAAAAGUGGUGAAAAAACAAAGCAAGGAAACAUUAAAAUUAGCAUAAAAUAGAUUAACAGAGAUACAGGUGAAUUACCACACUCAUAAACGGACUAAGUACCCCUGUUAAAAAGAUUCAAAUUGGGUCAAAAAUCAAUCUCUGAACCUGGAUCUUCACAUUUGGAUAAAACAAAGGAUAAAGGAGUUUAAAGAUAAUGAAAACUGUUAAGUCAUAGAAAUUGAACUAGGGAACAACAUUUUUAUCAGAAUUUAAGUUGUAACAAACUAUAAAACAGUGUGGGAUGUAACUUUUAAGAAGCUUUAUGUGGUAAAUAAUAUGGCAUUCAUCUGUAAAAUGUUCACUGUCUUGAUAUGAGUUGUAGUUUUUCUGAUAGUUUUUAAAAUAUGUGUAUUUCAAGUACUUAAUAAAAUAAUUCUUAAUUCAGUUA